rnacentral:rRNA from 1 species
GACGAACGCUGGCGGCGUGCUUAACACAUGCAAGUCGAACGGAAAGGCCCUGCUUUUGUGGGGUGCUCGAGUGGCGAACGGGUGAGUAACACGUGAGUAACCUGCCCUUGACUUUGGGAUAACUUCAGGAAACUGGGGCUAAUACCGGAUAGGAGCUCCUGCUGCAUGGUGGGGGUUGGAAAGUUUCGGCGGUUGGGGAUGGACUCGCGGCUUAUCAGCUUGUUGGUGGGGUAGUGGCUUACCAAGGCUUUGACGGGUAGCCGGCCUGAGAGGGUGACCGGCCACAUUGGGACUGAGAUACGGCCCAGACGCCUACGGGAGGCAGCAGUGGGGAAUAUUGCACAAUGGGCGGAAGCCUGAUGCAGCAACGCCGCGUGCGGGAUGACGGCCUUCGGGUUGUAAACCGCUUUCGCCUGUGACGAAGCGUGAGUGACGGUAAUGGGUAAAGAAGCACCGGCUAACUACG